rnacentral:rRNA from 1 species
CUACGGGUGGCAGCAGUGAGGAAUAUUGCACAAUGGGGGGAACCCUGAUGCAGCAACGCCGCGUGGAGGAUGACGCAUUUCGGUGUGUAAACUCCUUUUAUAUGUCAAGAAAAUGACGGUAGCAUAUUAAUAAUCACCGGCUAACUCCGUGCCAGCAGCCGCGGUAAUACGGAGGGGCAAGCGUUACUCGGAAUCACUGGGCGUAAAGGACGCGUAGGCGGGUUGGAAAGUCAGGUGUGAAAUCCUACAGCUUAACUGUAGAACUGAACUUGAAACUUCUAAUCUAGAGUAUGGGAGGGGGAGAUGGAAUUAGUGGUGUAGGGGUAAAAUCCGUAGAUAUCACUAGGAAUACCUAAAGCGAAGGCGAUCUCCUGGAACAUUACUGACGCUAAGGCGUGAAAGCGUGGGGAGCAAACAGGAUUAGAUACCCCAGUAGUC